GAUCCUGGCUCAGGAUGAACGCUAGCUACAGGCUUAACACAUACAAGUCGAGGGGCAGCAUGAACUUAGCUUGCUAAGUUUGAUGGCGACCGGCGCACGGGUGAGUAACACGUAUCCAACCUUCCGUUUACUCAGGGACAGCCUUUCGAAAGAAAGAUUAAUACCUGAUAGUAUGGUGAGAUUGCAUGAUAACACCAUUAAAGAUUUAUUGGUAAACGAUGGGGAUGCGUUCCAUUAGGUAGUAGGG
rnacentral:rRNA from 1 species